rnacentral:miRNA from 1 species
UGAGGCAGGAGAAUCGCUUGAACCCAGGGGGUGGAGGUUGCAGUGAGCCGAGAUUGCGCCACUGCACUCCAGCCUGGGCGACAGAGCAAGACUCUGUCUU